rnacentral:sRNA from 1 species
AUACAAGUGUCAAAAGAUAUAAAAUUCGAUGCGAGCUUGCUUGCAGGAGAAUUUUAUGUCUUUUGACACACCAAAAAUAUGAGUAAGAAGCCAUUUUUUGCAAAAAAAUGAGCGGAUUACGAAUAUUUUGGGGAUUGCAAAGCGCAGCUGAAGCAAUCCUG